rnacentral:rRNA from 1 species
AGCCCAGAGCCUGAAUCAGUGUGUGUGUUAGUGGAAGCGUCUGGAAAGGCGCGCGAUACAGGGUGACAGCCCCGUACACAAAAAUGCACAUGCUGUGAGCUCGAUGAGUAGGGCGGGACACGUGGUAUCCUGUCUGAAUAUGGGGGGACCAUCCUCCAAGGCUAAAUACUCCUGACUGACCGAUAGUGAACCAGUACCGUGAGGGAAAGGCGAAAAGAACCCCGGCGAGGGGAGUGAAAAAGAACCUGAAACCGUGUACGUACAAGCAGUGGGAGCCUCUUUAUGGGGUGACUGCGUACCUUUUGUAUAAUGGGUCAGCGACUUAUAUUCUGUAGCAAGGUUAACCGAAUAGGGGAGCCGAAGGGAAACCGAGUCUUAACUGGGCGUUAAGUUGCAGGGUAUAGACCCGAAACCCGGUGAUCUAGCCAUGGGCAGGUUGAAGGUUGGGUAACACUAACUGGAGGACCGAACCGACUAAUGUUGAAAAAUUAGCGGAUGACUUGUGGCUGGGGGUGAAAGGCCAAUCAAACCGGGAGAUAGCUGGUUCUCCCCGAAAGCUAUUUAGGUAGCGCCUCGUGAAUUCAUCUCCGGGGGUAGAGCACUGUUUCGGCAAGGGGGUCAUCCCGACUUACCAACCCGAUGCAAACUGCGAAUACCGGAGAAUGUUAUCACGGGAGACACACGGCGGGUGCUAACGUCCGUCGUGAAGAGGGAAACAACCCAGACCGCCAGCUAAGGUCCCAAAGUCAUGGUUAAGUGGGAAACGAUGUGGGAAGGCCCAGACAGCCAGGAUGUUGGCUUAGAAGCAGCCAUCAUUUAAAGAAAGCGUAAUAGCUCACUGGUCGAGUCGGCCUGCGCGGAAGAUGUAACGGGGCUAAACCAUGCACCGAAGCUGCGGCAGCGACACUAUGUGUUGUUGGGUAGGGGAGCGUUCUGUAAGCCUGCGAAGGUGUACUGUGAGGUAUGCUGGAGGUAUCAGAAGUGCGAAUGCUGACAUAAGUAACGAUAAAGCGGGUGAAAAGCCCGCUCGCCGGAAGACCAAGGGUUCCUGUCCAACGUUAAUCGGGGCAGGGUGAGUCGACCCCUAAGGCGAGGCCGAAAGGCGUAGUCGAUGGGAAACAGGUUAAUAUUCCUGUACUUGGUGUUACUGCGAAGGGGGGACGGAGAAGGCUAUGUUGGCCGGGCGACGGUUGUCCCGGUUUAAGCGUGUAGGCUGGUUUUCCAGGCAAAUCCGGAAAAUCAAGGCUGAGGCGUGAUGACGAGGCACUACGGUGCUGAAGCAACAAAUGCCCUGCUUCCAGGAAAAGCCUCUAAGCAUCAGGUAACAUCAAAUCGUACCCCAAACCGACACAGGUGGUCAGGUAGAGAAUACCAAGGCGCUUGAGAGAACUCGGGUGAAGGAACUAGGCAAAAUGGUGCCGUAACUUCGGGAGAAGGCACGCUGAUACGUAGGUGAAGCGACUUGCUCGUGGAGCUGAAAUCAGUCGAAGAUACCAGCUGGCUGCAACUGUUUAUUAAAAACACAGCACUGUGCAAACACGAAAGUGGACGUAUACGGUGUGACGCCUGCCCGGUGCCGGAAGGUUAAUUGAUGGGGUUAGCGGUAACGCGAAGCUCUUGAUCGAAGCCCCGGUAAACGGCGGCCGUAACUAUAACGGUCCUAAGGUAGCGAAAUUCCUUGUCGGGUAAGUUCCGACCUGCACGAAUGGCGUAAUGAUGGCCAGGCUGUCUCCACCCGAGACUCAGUGAAAUUGAACUCGCUGUGAAGAUGCAGUGUACCCGCGGCAAGACGGAAAGACCCCGUGAACCUUUACUAUAGCUUGACACUGAACAUUGAGCCUUGAUGUGUAGGAUAGGUGGGAGGCUUUGAAGUGUGGACGCCAGUCUGCAUGGAGCCGACCUUGAAAUACCACCCUUUAAUGUUUGAUGUUCUAACGUUGGCCCGUGAUCCGGGUUGCGGACAGUGUCUGGUGGGUAGUUUGACUGGGGCGGUCUCCUCCUAAAGAGUAACGGAGGAGCACGAAGGUUGGCUAAUCCUGGUCGGACAUCAGGAGGUUAGUGCAAUGGCAUAAGCCAGCUUGACUGCGAGCGUGACGGCGCGAGCAGGUGCGAAAGCAGGUCAUAGUGAUCCGGUGGUUCUGAAUGGAAGGGCCAUCGCUCAACGGAUAAAAGGUACUCCGGGGAUAACAGGCUGAUACCGCCCAAGAGUUCAUAUCGACGGCGGUGUUUGGCACCUCGAUGUCGGCUCAUCACAUCCUGGGGCUGAAGUAGGUCCCAAGGGUAUGGCUGUUCGCCAUUUAAAGUGGUACGCGAGCUGGGUUUAGAACGUCGUGAGACAGUUCGGUCCCUAUCUGCCGUGGGCGCUGGAGAACUGAGGGGGGCUGCUCCUAGUACGAGAGGACCGGAGUGGACGCAUCACUGGUGUUCGGGUUGUCAUGCCAAUGGCACUGCCCGGUAGCUAAAUGCGGAAGAGAUAAGUGCUGAAAGCAUCUAAGCACGAAACUUGCCCCGAGAUGAGUUCUCCCUGACUCCCUGAGAGUCCUGAAGGAACGUUGAAGACGACGACGUUGAUAGGCCGGGUGUGUAAGCGCAGCGAUGCGUUGAGCUAACCGGUACUAAUGAACCGUGAGGCUUAACCUU